AAGAAGAAGAAAGAAGAAGAAGAAGAAGAAGAAGAAGAAGAAGAAGAAGAAGAAGAAGAAGAAGAAGAAGAAGAAGAAGAAGAAGAAGAAGAAGAGAAAUUCACCCUUCCUCACAUCACCCAGUCAGAAGAAAGAAAGUAAUAAUAAUCUCAUACUUUAUCACCCCGAUAAAAAAAAUCCAAAAAAUAAAAGCUCUAUGAAACAAUGUUUCAAAUAAUAGGUGAAUAUUUAUAUUUCAAUUAUAAGUGAAGGAAUUUCUAAUUCAUAACUCAUUAGCAAACAGCAGUCCAAUAUAAUUUCGAUUUGUAAGUAUAAUAUUCGAAACUUUUUACAACGUAUACUUUAUCACCCCGAUAAAAAAAAUACAAAAAAUAAAAGCUCUAUGAAACAAUGUUUCAAGUAAUAGGUGAAUAUUUAUAUUUCAAUUAUAAGUGAAGGAAUUUCUAAUUCAUAACUCAUUAGCAAACAGCAGUACAAUAUAAUUUCGAUUUGUAAGUAUAAUAUUCGAAACUUUUUACAACGUAUGGUUAUGUCAGAAAUCGACCACAAACUUUCAACAACAUUAUAAGGAAUAUAAUAUUCAUACAUCAUUUGCAACUUAUUAUGCAUAUUUUUGCAAGAGCUAUUCAGUUACAAAGUACCAACCAUCCCAUUCACUUUUUUUAGAAAACUCCAUUUCACAAAUAAAUAACAGAUUAUGACAACAUGUAUUUUAAUUCUCAACUUUAUUCAACUUGAAUUUCAUUGGAGUAGCCUAAUCCACUACCAACCCACUUCUCGUUACAAGACUUCACUUCAUCCAGCACCAUAAGUCAUUGCACGAAAUAUGAGACCAAUGUAAUCCGAAACUGUAUCCAUUGCAACCAAUCCCAACCACGAAUACAUUUCGACCUGACGUUUUAGUGGGUGCAUACUCACUAUGAAAUACAUUGGCACUGACCAACACACUAACCUGUCAUAGAUAAAUAUAUGUGACCGUUGGGGGGGUGUCCAGAGGGGGUUGAUGGAGAUAGAUAGAGAGAGAAAGACUGAUUGAGAAAGAGAGAGAGAGUGUAAGAGAGAGAAAGGCGUUAUCGCAGCCAAGAUCAGACAGACUCCUGGACUAUAGACAACAAUGGCUCACUUCACUUGCCUUUCCCUGAUCCCGGCCGAGUGAGUUUGAACAGUCCCAUAUUUCAGGGGCAAAUAUUUGCAUCGGACACAUGCACUGAUUCUGAUGUGUACGAGUCCAGCUUCAAGCAUUAUUUCAGCUACUGUCACACUCUUUCCAAAACGGCUUCAUACUAUUUAAAUCCAGAAUCUGGACCAACUCACAAGAAUGGAAUUGCGGAACAGUUCUCCCAAAGUCAACUUAGAAACUGAAAAAUCAACUCAGCCUAAAGGUGACCUGUCACACUUGUUAUGAAACCAUCGGAAAUUCUUUGAUGAUGCUGUACACUUAAGAGAAGAAAGGGGAACACCUUUUGCCCCAAGGCCAGAAUAUUAUAGCAUUCAAAGGUGAAUUUCCAGCCGAAAGCAAAACUAUUGAGAAGAGGAUGGGUGUAAUGCGGGGGACAAUAAGGGAAGAAGGAGAGGAUUAGUGGUAGACAAACUCCGCAAAAGGGGUUGAAGAAUUAAAACCACAAAGGCAAGAAAUAACCCACCACAUGAUGUCAACCACCUAAAAAAUACUGCAGACUACACCGGUUGUUUCAAAUGCUUCAACAUAUUUUCCAGUUCCUCCUUUCUUUCGUAUUCAUAUCAUUCUUCUUGAAUAAUUUUCCAUGGAAUUUCAUGCACUUACUGCUUAUUCCUUCUUCUUCUUGUUCUGUUUAUCAAAAUAAGAUUUUCGCCUUUUUCUUGUUUUGUCGUGUUUCACUUCUCAGCCCUCCUACUUGUCAAUCCCUCCUCAAUCUCAUUCGAUUUCACCCUAUUCUUCCACUUUGUACACUCUUCUUCACCUAAAUUUUACCAAUUUUGUGAAUAUCUUAUUCAUUUAUCAUUUUUUAGGAUAGAGCGAACAAUAAAACGGCCACAAAAGAAAAAAUAGGCUAGCCUAUAUCUCAAAACUUCCUCUAUUUCUUAAUAUCUUUCUUCAAAUCUUAAACAUCAACCUUAAAAAUUUUCAAAUCAUUAUUCCUGGACCGAAAUUCAAGUGACGAUGCAGCGUGUGAUUACAAACCUUAACUUUUGGACAACAUCAUUUUAUCGAAAUUUUUGGAGAGAAAUAGUACACCCAGCCUAAUAGUAAAACUCAGCCUAGUUUUUUUCUCCAAUGUAAAUUGUAUUAUGAUUAUAGUGUUUUAUACAAUAAAUGAAUAAAUUGAAAAAAUAAAAAUCUUCCAAAUCCAAAUACGUUAUGUAAAUUUCAAUUUCCACACAAAAUAAUAUGAAGUGGCCCAUCAUAUUAAAACCGAAAUCAAAUCAAAUCUUUUUUUUUGUACAUCCUUUAAAUUUUUCUUCCGCUUUUCAUCUUCCUUUUACCUGUUCCUCAUCUUUCUCCAUUACUUUUUCUUUCUUUUCUCCUCUUGUUCUGUUUGUAUGCUAGCAUCUCCGUUUGACUUGCUAUUGCCAUCAGGCUGCACAAUUCACAUGCUCACAUCCUGAGUGACGCACUCUGUGUUGUUCGCCUCCAACCCCCGGGGGCGUUGUGUACACAGCUGACAUUGUCAGACGUCCUUCCAGCUGAGAUCAGACCAAAAGGUGGUUUUUUGGGUCUUAAGUCGGGACACACUCUUGUUUUUUGAACAUUGUCUGUCUGGUUAAGCCGGGGUUUACUUUGGGGUUACAGGUAUCAAAGGUGUUUGGCUUGGGGCAAAUUGUAGGGCCCAAAAUGACAAUUCAAGUGAAACAGAAGUGAAGAAAUAAAAAGUGUGGUUGGUGAUACAAAAUUAGCAGUUCAAUUUAUCCUACUAGUAUACAAUUGAUUAUACCUCUGUACCUAGAUAACUAUUCGUAUCAAAUUCAUAUAUGCUAAGAUUUUCAUUCUAAGUUGUUUCGUGCAGAAAUACAUUCAACGGAGAUUUAAGUCUAUUAAAAGGAACAAAACAUUAUCAAGUAUUCCUGAAUAGUGUGUAUACAGAGUCAAUGUGACUGAUGCCAGAGCAGUCGUGGGCUCGAUACCCGUCAAUCGCAUCUAGCAAGAUUUUCUAAUGAUUUCUCAAACACAUCUCAUCACUCAAUAUGUGAGAAGCUUUCUAGUUAUGUUGGUAAAACCCAAAACAAAAUCAUUCUGAAAAAUUAACAGUAUUCACCAUUCCAUGAGAAAUGAAUUUCGUAAAUGAAAUUACAAAUAAUUGAGCAGACAAAUUGCAAUGAAGUUAUGAAUAAAUACAUCAAUAUAGUAGAGCCAAUCCUAGUAAAACACACAAGAUGGGAUAAAAAACUUUAAAAUACAAAAUUUUGCGAAAUGUCAAAUUAUAUAUUAAUUUUUCUGAAAUAGCCUAAUAUUAUUACGAUCUAAUUAGCCGCUACGAUUAUAACUUCCACUUGAAACAAGGAAGUCAUGGAGAAAUUUUAUAAGUGAUUUAAUCCAUGAUAUUAUUCUAUGAAAAAUGAUAGUUGCAGGUGAAUUAUAGUAGGCCUACGGUACUUUUUAUAGUGACAAGACACAAGAUAGUUGAAAUUUGAAAUACAUGAGACCUCUACAAUGUUAUAAUGUCAUGAUUAUAUUCAUUAUCUAUGAUUUAGUAGUUGAAUUAUCCAUGAUUAUAUUCGGUAGUUGACGUCUAUCUAUAAUUAUUGAAGAUUAAAACACCACACCGCAAAAUUAUUACAAGUCUCGUUCUAUCAAACAAAAAUUAUAUUCCAAGUAGGUUACUAUACAGGUAUUAUAACUAUGAGCCAUCAGUUAUAAUAACUAUCAUCUAUCAACACAUAUAUAUUUUGAUGAGUAGUACAAUAUUAUCAAACUAUCAACCAUUUAUUAUAUUAUCAAUUCAAGUACUAUAACUUAAUAUUAUUCAACGUUUAUGAAAUUGAAAACUAUUAAUUUCUCGUAAAUAUUGUUAAUAUGCAAUUCUAGUUGAAAUGUUGGAACUGAAAGAAACCAAUUGCCGCAUAUUCUUUGCUAAUAACAGUCUCACACACUACCUACCAUUUUCUGCAUCAAACAUCCCCGUCAAGAUGACACCACGAGAUAACUGAACUAAUAGUUGCUAAGCUGACAACAAAAUAUUCAAUUUGACUCGGCUUCCAAAAAGACUAGUAAAUAGUUAUUUCCAUCUAGAGCACAAGAUAAUGCCCGAUAAUAACUCGGCAUAAUUAUUAUUUUGUCAGAAUAAAUUAAACUCUUGUAGAAUCAAUUAACAGCCAACCGGUCGAAAGUUGAUUUUAGUUAUUUUUUUCAAGUUGGUUUUUUAAAGUUAGUUGUGCCUCCGUCAAUUUAGUAGCUUCAUCUGUAUAACGGGUUCGUCCACUUAGCACUAUAUCAUUAGACGGCGCUUUUUUGUUUGAUUUUUUAAUAUUUUUUUUCUUCUUCCGACCGAUCGUUGUGACUUUGAUUAUUCAUAAAUAUUUAGUCAGCGUUCAAUUCCAUUAGCUAGCUGCUCUCCUGAAGGAGUCUAUAGAAUAUUCUCGAAGGACUGGGGAUGCUAAUAUCAUGAUAAAACACUAAUUCCAUCAACAGGGGGAGGAAGAAGAGGAAAAAAACGAAAAAAAGA
rnacentral:lncRNA from 1 species